rnacentral:rRNA from 1 species
CCCCUAGAUGUUCUGGGCCGCACGCGCGCUACACUGAACAGUUCAACAAGUCUUAACCUUGGCCGAUAGGUCUGGGUAAUCUUUGAACGCUGUUCGUGAUUGGGAUAGACCUUUGCAAUUAUGGGUCUUCAACGAGGAAUUCCUAGUAAACGCAAGUCAUCAGCUUGCAUUGAUUACGUCCCUGCCCUUUGUACACACCGCCCGUCGCACCUACCGAUUGAAUGGUCCGGUGAAUGACUCGGACUGCUGCCGGCAUUCACGUGCUGACGGUGGAAAGUUUUGUAAACCUUAUCACUUAGAGGAAGGAGAAGUCGUAACA